AAUAUAUUCCCUCCGUCCGAAAAUACUUGUCAUCGAAAUGGACAAAAAAAGAUGUAUCAAAAACUAAAAUACGUCUAGAUACAUCCUUUUUUAUCCAUUUUGAUGACAAGUAUUUCCGGACGGAGGGAGUAUGAA
rnacentral:pre_miRNA from 1 species